CACAACCAGACCCCUCAAUUCUCAACACUCAAAUCUCAAGCUUGAAACCUCAAGCUUCUGUCUAUGAGGAGUGGUGAAUCGGUGAUUAGGGUUUUUUCUUGGCAAGGGGUACAGGGGAGUCCAUCGUUCAAGAAUAUCUUUUGGUGUUCAGCAAUGUCUAUUAACAUCACUUCUGAAGUUUCAAAAGCAUGUUUUCUUGGGUUUCAGACUGUAGACCUCAACCGACCAUCGCAGUUUGAUAAUCCAAUUACUACCUUCCAAAAAAGGGAAAUGGGGAUUUCUUUGCAAACGCCUCCGGCCCUCCACAAAAGAUCAAUUCUGGCAGAAGUGAUCACUGAUCAGCACUAUCUCGACGGAGAGAAGCAAUAGAAUGUUCCAGAACAAGGAAAAAGUAGGCAGCCUCUUUUCCGUUUCUUCUGGCAAGGUGGUGGUGUCUUGGACUGCAUCGGUUUCCAAACCAGGGUGUUUGGAGCCCAUCUGUACUCUAAGCCUGUUUGAGUUAUAAAUUUAUAAUGUAUUCGGGCCUAGUUUUGGCCCUUAAUAGGGGCCUAUUUGUAUCCUGAUC